GCUGGGCGUGGUGGCUCACGCCUGUAAUCCCAGCACUUUGGGAGGCUGAGGCGGGUGGAUCACCUGAGGUCAGGAGUCCGAGACCAGCCUGGCCAACAUGGAGAAACCCCGUCUCUA
ensembl:misc_RNA Metazoa_SRP Metazoan signal recognition particle RNA